rnacentral:rRNA from 1 species
AGUGAACGCUGGCGGUAGGCCUAACACAUGCAAGUCGAACGGCAGCACAGUAAGAGCUUGCUCCUACGGGUGGCGAGUGGCGGACGGGUGAGGAAUACAUCGGAAUCUACUUUUUCGUGGGGGAUAACGUAGGGAAACUUACGCUAAUACCGCAUACGACCUACGGGUGAAAGCAGGGGAUCUUCGGACCUUGCGCGAUUGAAUGAGCCGAUGUCGGAUUAGCUAGUUGGCGGGGUAAAGGCCCACCAAGGCGACGAUCCGUAGCUGGUCUGAGAGGAUGAUCAGCCACACUGGAACUGAGACACUGUCCAGACUCCUACGGGAGGCAGCAGUGGGGAAUAUUGGACAAUGGGCGCAAGCCUGAUCCAGCCAUACCGCGUGGGUGAAGAAGGCCUUCGGGUUGUAAAGCCCUUUUGUUGGGAAAGAAAAGCAGCAGGUUAAUACCCCGAUGUUCUGACGGUAACAAAAGAAUAAGCACCGGCUAACUUCGUG